AACGAACGCUGGCGGCAGGCCUAACACAUGCAAGUCGAGCGGACCCUUCGGGGUUAGCGGCGGACGGGUGAGUAAAGCGUGGGAUUAUGCCCUUCUCUACGGAAUAGUCCUGGGAAACUGGGGGUAAUACCGUAUACGACCUCUGGGGGAAAGACUUAUCGGGGUAGGAUGAGCCCGCGUUGGAUUGGGUAGUUGGUGGGGUAAUGGCCUACCAAGCCGACGAUCCAUAGCUGGGUUGAGCGGAUGAUCCGCCACACGUGGACUGCGACACGGCCCAGACUCCUACGGGAGGCAGCAGUGGGGAAUCUUAGGCGAUGGGGGCAACCCUGAUCUAGCCAUGCCGCGUGAGUGAUGAAGGCCUUAGUGUUGUAAAGCUCUUUCAGCUGGGAAGAUAAUGACGGUACCAGCAGAAGAAGCCCCGGCUAACUCCGUG
rnacentral:rRNA from 1 species